rnacentral:rRNA from 1 species
GACGAACGCUGGCGGCGUGCUUAACACAUGCAAGUCGAACGGAAAGGCCCUGCUUUUGUGGGGUUCUCGAGUGGCGAACGGGUGAGUAACACGUGAGUAACCUGCCCUUGACUUUGGGAUAACUUCAGGAAACUGGGGCUAAUACCGGAUAGUAGCUCCUGCUGCAUGGUGGGGGUGGGAAAGUUUCGGCGGUUGGGGAUGGACUCGCGGCUUAUCAGCUUGUUGGUGGGGUAGUGGCUUACCACGGCUUUGACGGGUAGCCGGCCUGAGAGGGUGACCGGCCACAUUGGGACUGAGGUAGGGCCCAGACUCCUACGGGAGGCAGCAGUGGGGAGUAUUGCACAAUGGGCGGAAGCCUGAUGCAGCAACGCCGCGUGCGGGAUGACGGCCUUCGGGUUGUAAACCGCUUUCGCCUGUGACGAAGCGUGAGUGACGGUAAUGGGUAAAGAAGCACCGGCUAACUACGUG